GAAGCAUAUCAACAAUGAAUGAAAUAUUUCGGAGCAUAUAAAUAACAAAUGAAAUGUUUCGGAGCCGAUCAGUGGCGUAUGAAAUGUUCCGGAGCAUAUCAACGGUGUAUGGAACAUUUCGGAGCAUAUCAAUAACAAAUACCAAACAGAAGCUCAAACGUCGUCUUUGACGUUGCAUUCAUAUCAUUCUUAUCCAAAGCAUGUACAGAAACACAUAACCAAAGCUCUGGAUAUCAUAUCAAACAUACAGAAGGUGUAGUGGGACCACAGACAGAAUGUGAUUCAUCCAUUUCUGAAUGACCACCAGACAGAAGUCUCCCACGUCUGGGAGCUCCAUCCACCGACGUCUAGGUGAAGUCAGAGGGGGCCGGCAGAGCAUCGCAGGCUCUAUGCAUAACUCCCUUUACCAUUUCUGGCAAAGGUUUACAUUAUCCCACAACACUAGAGUACAAAAGGGCAGUAUGAACAAUAAAUAGCAUAUAUCGGAAGCACACGCGGAACAACAAACAUACAUGUGCCUUUACGAGUCAAUACGAUGCAAGCAACAAUCUCUCACAAAUGUGUUCAGAUUUGGAAUGAAAUGAAAGCAAGAGUAUACAUGGAUUCCAAGCAAUCAUAUAUAGCUCAAUUCAAAUAAGAAGGUUAGAUGAAUUCAAUAUCCAAAGGAAUGAAACUAGAAUAGGCACAUAUCGAAAGUAAACGCGGAUCAAUGGGAUAUACAUGUGCCUAUAUGUGUCAAUGCGAUAUAGCAUAAACAUUACACAAAAGGAUUCAAGAAUGUAAAUAAUUUACAGACAAGAUCAAACCAGAAUUCAAGCACUAAUAUAAGCCUCAAUUGAGCGAAAGGGGCUGAAUGGAAUAUAGUUCCAAACGAAUGAAACAGAAUACGCGAAAUCGACCAAAGCUUGAUUUCUGACAGAAUUCAAGAGGCACAUUGAACAAAUACUUCAGAUUAUCAAUUAUGCUCCAAUACCCUUAAAAAAGCUACUGUCGAAAGAUAUAUCAAUCUAUUUUCUGAUGAAAUAAGUUUCAUAUAAAUCAAGAUUUCCAACAAGGAGUUACCAUUGAUUUAGUGACCAAAUGUCAAAAACUAAAUCACUGUUUUACAGAAUCCAUAGGACGGAAUCAACAGAUAGCAGAAUAGGCAUUUGAAUUCCAAAUUCUUCAAUCCAUAUAUCAAAAGAAAGAUUUACAAGUCUAAUUUCAAAUGAAAUCAGUUUGGUAUAAAUCAGAAUUUCCAACAGGGAGAUAUAGGCAUUUUAGUAUCGAAAGGUCAGAAAUUUUGAUCCCUAUUCUGUAGCAUCUAUAGGCUCAUUUGAAACAGAUGUUUGGGUAAGUAUUCGGUGUCCAAAAUCUACAAAAUCAGUGUCAAAAGAAAGAUAUAAGAGUCUAAUUUCAAAUGAACUAUGUCCUGUCUGAAUCCACAUUUGGUGCUAAAAAUUAUAGCUGAAACAGUGUAUAGGGGUCAGUUUACCGAAAAAAUUUCAGAUCCUUGGUUUUUUGUCCAAAGAGAGAAAUAUCAGGUUCUACGCAUAAAUCUUUCAGAAUCAAUAUAGGAACAUAGACUAAUACUUCUGUAGGAUGGGAUUAGAACACUUACCUUUGAGAAUUUUGACCCUAAAUGAGAAGAUUUGAGCAAGAAACCUCAAAGCCCCAAUUUUUUUUUUCUUCUUCUUCUUCCCCCUUUUUCUUCUCUUCUUCUUUCUUUCUUUCUCCUGUGCUUCCACGUAGCUGCCUUCUCUAGUUCCUUAUGAACGAAGGCAGAGAGGCUUAAACGGUGGGAUUUGUAUUUUUGUGCAUUUUGCAGUUUAGUCCUUGUAUUUAUUAUAUUUACGAUUAGGUCCUCAG
rnacentral:lncRNA from 1 species